rnacentral:ncRNA from 1 species
AGACCUCAGGUGAUGUGUGACUACCCCCAGAAUUUAAGCAUAUUAAUAAGGGGAGGAAGAGAAACCAACCGGGAUUCCCUGAGUAGCUGCGAGCGAAACGGGAAGAGCUCAGCACGUAGGGACGGCGUGGAGACGCGUCUGUCCGAUUCCGUGUACUGGACCGCUCCAUCAUCUACCGCGCACGGUGCACAUCAAGUCUAACUUGAAGGUGGCUCAUUAUCCCAUAGAGGGUGAUAGGCCCGUAGCAUGCGCACGCCUGUGCUGGUAGACGGUCGGUUCCAAUGAGUCGUGUUGCUUGAUAGUGCAGCACUAAGUGGGAGGUAAACUCCUUCUAAAGCUAAAUACCGCCAUGAGUCCGAUAGCGAACAAGUACCGUGAGGGAAAGUUGAAAAGCACUCUGAAUAGAGAGUCAAAUAGUACGUGAAACUGCCUAGGGGAAUCAAACCCGUUGAACUCAAUGAUCCGUGCGGCGAUAUUCAGCGGCGGUCGCAAGGCUGCCGUGCACUUAUCCGCCCGCAGCCUACACGGACAUCGCGAUCCAUUACAAUAGCGGGUCGGGCGCUUUGCGCUGCGACCGUCCGGCAUGCGAUGGCCCCUGGCUCGUGGUGGACGGCUCCCUAGUAGGGGCGGCUUUGCGGCCGCACCGAGCGGGGGUCUCCGCGCCUUUCAUCCGAAGGGCGACUGGGUCCGACCGAGCGUGGUGUGCCGCUGGAACCGUGAUGGAUCCGAGCGUGGGACCGAGUUAGAGGCAGCCUUCUGCGAAGGUUGUCCGUUCGUGUCCCCAGAUCGGCGAUGAGCAGCAUGCAUUGAGGUACCUCCGGGACCCGUCUUGAAACACGGACCAAGAAGUCUAUCUUGCACGCAAGCCAAUGGGACCGAUACCACCGGUGUGUGGUGUCGCUCAAUCGAACACCCAUAGGCGAAGACAACUCGAUGACGUUCGUCACGGGAUUACGGGUUCGGCAUGGCGCAAGCCUUCGUCGGAUCCCUCCAUCCCAGGGUGUCCCGAUACGGGUGGGAGCGGGCCUCCGGGCGUCGUUCUACCCAGCGGACAUACCCGCGAGUGCGCAGGAUGCGACCCGAAAGAUGGUGAACUAUGCCUGAUCAGGUUGAAGUCAGGGGAAACCCUGAUGGAGGACCGAAGCAAUUCUGACGUGCAAAUCGAUUGUCAGAGUUGGGCAUAGGGGCGAAAGACCAAUCGAACCAUCUAGUAGCUGGUUCCCUCCG